AAAGUCCCCUUCGGGGGACAAGUAGAGUGGCGCACGGGUGAGUAACACGUAGGUAAUCUACCUUCGGGUGGGGAAUAACAACCGGAAACGGUUGCUAAUACCGCAUAAUGCAGCGGCACCUAAUGGUGACAGUUGUUAAAGCGGGGGAUCGCAAGAUCUCGCGCCUGAAGAGGAGCCUGCGGCGGAUUAGCUAGUUGGUAGGGUAAUGGCCUACCAAGGCGACGAUCCGUAACCGGCCUGAGAGGGCGGUCGGUCACACUGACACUGACAUACGGGUCAGACUCCUACGGGAGGCAGCAGUCGGGAAUUUUGGGCAAUGGGCGAAAGCCUGACCCAGCAACGCCGCGUGAAGGAUGAAAUCCCUCGGGAUGUAAACUUCGCAAGAACGGGAAGAAUAAGUGGAAGUUAAUACCUUCCAUGAUGACGGUACCGUUUGUAAGCUCCGGCUAACUCCGUGCCAGCAGCCGCGGUAAUACGGGGGGAGCAAGCGUUGUUCGGAUUUACUGGGCGUAAAGGGCGCGUAGGCGGCCUCCGCAAGUCAGUUGUGAAAUCUCCGAGCUUAACUCGGAAAGGUCAACUGAUACUGCGGGGCUAGAGUGCGGAAGGGGCAACUGGAAUUCUUGGUGUAGCGGUGAAAUGCGUAGAUAUCAAGAGGAACACCUGCGGCGAAGGCGGGUUGCUGGGCCGACACUGACGCUGAGGCGCGAAAGCUAGGGGAGCGAACGGGAUUAGAUACCCCGGUAGUCCUAGCCUUAAACGAUGAAUGCUUGGUGUCUGGGGUUAUAUAGUCCCCGGGUGCCGUCGCUAACGCUUUAAGCA
rnacentral:rRNA from 1 species